CCCGGCCCGGACACCGCGAGGAUUGACAGAUCGAGAGCUCUUUCUUGAUUCGGUGGGUGGUGGUGCAUGGCCGUUCUUAGUUGGUGGAGCGAUUUGUCUGGUUAAUUCCGAUAACGAACGAGACUCUGGCCUGCUAAAUAGUCCGCCCGUACCCGCGUGCGGGCGCGGACUUCUUAGAGGGACGAGCGGCGCUUAGCCGCGCGAGACUGAGCAAUAACAGGUCUGUGAUGCCCUUAGAUGUCCGGGGCCGCACGCGCGCUACACUGAAGGAAUCAGCGUGCCCCCGUCCCGGCCCGGAAGGGCCGGGCAACCCGUACAACCUCCUUCGUGCUGGGGAUCGGGGCUUGCAAUUCUUGCCCGUGAACGAGGAAUUCCCAGUAAGUGCGAGUCACCAGCUCGCGUUGAUUACGUCCCUGCCCUUUGUACACACCGCCCGUCGCUACUACCGAUUGAACGGUUUAGCGAGGCCCUCGGAUCCGUCCCGGCGCAGCCGGUCCCGGCGGCGUCGGCGCGCGGAGAAGACGGUCGAACUUGAUCGUUUAGAGGAAGUAAAAGUCGUAACAAGGUUUCC
rnacentral:rRNA from 1 species